rnacentral:ncRNA from 1 species
UACCUGGUUGAUCCUGCCAGUAGUCAUAUGCUUGUCUCAAAGAUUAAGCCAUGCAAGUCUAAGUACGAGCUCUCGUACAGUGAAACUGCGAAUGGCUCAUUAAAUCAGUUAUGGUUCAUUUGAUCGUACAGUUUACUUGGAUAACUGUGGUAAUUCUAGAGCUAAUACAUGCGAGAAGCGCCGACCUCGCGGGAGGCGUGCAUUUAUCAGACCAAAAACCGGCCGCGUCUUCGGGCGCGUUCGCCUUGGUGACUCUGGAUAACUUUGCGGAUCGCACGGUCUAGCACCGGCGACGGAUCAUCAAAGUGUCUGCCCUAUCAACUUUCGUCGGUACGGUAUUUGCCUACCGAGGUUCUUACGGGUGACGGGGAAUCAGGGUUCGAUUCCGGAGAGGGAGCCUGAGAAACGGCUACCACAUCCAAGGAAGGCAGCAGGCGCGCAAAUUACCCAUUCCCGACGCGGGGAGGUAGUGACGAAAAAUAACAAUGCAGGACUCGUUCGAGGCCCUGUAAUUGGAAUGAGUACACUUUAAAAGCUUUAACGAGUAUCCAUUGGAGGGCAAGUCUGGUGCCAGCAGCCGCGGUAAUUCCAGCUCCAAAAGUAUAUAUUUAAGUUGUUGCGGUUAAAAAGCUCGUAGUUGGAUUUUGGGCGCAGGCGGCCGGUCCGUCGCAAGGCGUGUACUGGACGUCCUGGCCUUCCCUCCGGUUCUCCGCCGGUGCUCUUGACUGAGUGUCGGCGGCGGCCGGAACGUUUACUUUGAAAAAAUUAGAGUGUUCAAAGCAGGCUCUCGAGCCUGGAUAAUGGUGCAUGGAAUAAUGGAAUAGGACCUCGGUUCUAUUUUGUUGGUUUUCGGAGCGCGAGGUAAUGAUUAAGAGGGACAGACGGGGGCAUUCGUACUGUGCCGUUAGAGGUGAAAUUCUUGGAUCGGCGCAAGACGAACGACUGCGAAAGCAUUGCCAAGAA